ensembl:rRNA nuclear encoded rRNA 5S 207
ACCUGACCUCAUACCACCAUGAAUGUACCUGACCUCUUCCGAUCUUAGAGGCCAAGCACAAUUGUGCCAGGUUAAUUCUUCCAUGGAGACCACCUGGGAAUACCAGUGUUAUAGGCU